CAGUUGUUAAAGUGUAUAAUGCACUUACAACUUUUUUCUUAUUAAAAUCUAAAAGGUAAGUCCCAUAGACUUAUAACCAAGGAUAGACCCAGCAUGUUUACAUUAAACGAAAUCAUACACCAUAUAGAUAUUAAGGCCAUGAUGCCAAGUUGAAAAGAUGUUUCGCCGGAAAAUGUAUUAUUUUUCUAUUUAAUUGCCAAUAAUCCACAAAUUAUCACACUAUUUACUGUAACAAGUCCCCAUAUCAAAAUGAAAAUAUUCGUGUCAUGCAAAAUUUGUUCCUCAGGUACCUAAAUACCUAGAAAUACAAUAAAAUACCAGUUUUAUACGACCGCACCCAAAACAACGGAAUUUCCGAAACAAACUGACCUGGUGACGAAAGUGGCAACUCAUCUGUUUACGACGUAAAUUCAUUUUUACUAUUUCAUUCAUUUUUCGUUUGCGCUGUUGCCUAACAGAGAUCUCGAGCUUUAUAGUCGUUUUUUUUGUGAUUAUUUGAUUGUUUUUAACGUUUUUUGUGUUGUUUUGGACUAUUAAGACUUAAUACCCUGACUAAAAAGUGUCACGUGUGCCAAAGAACGAGUACUACGUCGGAAAAUGUAUAUUUUCAUAGAUUUCCAUCUGAACCAAUCAACUGAAUAAACCAAUUACCAAAAUCUGCACUGAUUUGCUCUGAACAUUUUAAGUCAUCUGACUUUUUUCAGAGUCGAGAUGACAAAAAAUGUCUUAAGCCAGGUUCCCUUCCAAAGUUAGUGGGAUCUCUUUAUGAUAGUUCCUCGACUAGCUUAUCAUCUCAAAUUUUUAUCCUGCAUACCUGGCCCUUCAGAAAUGAUACAGAGAUCAUCACCUACAUCUUCAAGGACAGCUACUGCCUCUGAAGCUGAAUCAGAGGCCUGUACUAGUGUUUCAGCUGAUCAUUCCACAUUACAGUCCAAGGCAGUUGACGGAGAUAGCCUUCCUGAAGCUAAGGAGGCACUGGUGUUUAUGGUGGUAGCCAUCAAUGAUUCUUGAAAAGUGCCUGUUGGGUAUUUUCUUCUAAAUGGGCUUGAAUCUGCCGCUAAGCAGACUUAGUAAUUAAUUGUAUCAGAUUAAUACUGUGAUGACAGUAAUACUGUGAAUUUAUUUAUGCGAAUAAAUUUAUAUAUUAUUUUAGAAAA